GAUGUGUCUUCUACAGAUCCCACAUGCUCCUUUGCCAUGGCAGCUGAUGUCACCUGUCAUGUAUCCGAAGUGCCGCGUGGAGGAAAGGACAAGAAAACCACCAGCCCUAUUAAAUGCUGCUUGGUUUAUCCCAGCACAAGCCAGAGCAGGAGGAACACACUGUCUUCCAGUAAACUGCAACAAAGUUCUGCUAAGUCAUGCCUCUCCCCUCCUACAGCAAGCCCAGUAGAGUGUGAGAGCAUUUCCCCGGCAGAAGCCUGGCCCCUGCCUCCCCUGCUGCAGUAACUUAGAACGCCUAGAUCACAAGCAGACAGAGAGGCAGACAGAGAGGGAGGGGGAAGCAGGCUCCCCGCCCAGCUGAGAGCCCAACAUGGGGCCUCACCCCAGGACCCAGCGACCAUGACCCGAGCUGAAGGCAGAGGCCUAACCCACUGAGCCACCCAGCUGGAGAAAUCAAGUGCAUCCUGUGUGACCCCAUUGGGAGAAGACUCUGGAAGCUUAUGCCUGGUUUCCUCUGGACUUUGCCCCUUGAGCUUUUUAUCUUUGCUGAUUCUACUUUGUGUCCUUUUGUUAUAAUAAAUCGUAGCCAUGAGCGUGACUGUA